UAUUCAUUUUCUCUACAAAAAUACUGAAAGAAGAAAAAGGAGGGAGAAAAUCUUUAUCAUCUUACCCAAAACUACCACCUCUUUCCUUUCUCUCUAACGUUACUGCACCACAGCUUCGCUGACAACAACAGUCGUCAGCCGGCGAAACCCCCACCGACGUCGCCCCCGUUUUCUGCUCUCCGUCUCUCCCUUGUCCCAAUUACCCCAGCCGUCCUUUCUCCUCUCGUUGUUCUCUUUCCUUUUUUCCAUAGUUGUGAUCGCCGAUGAACCAGCACCGAUGAAAUUAACACUGUCCCAGCCGGUGAACCCCACUAAAAUAGCCCCUAACAAAUUUGGGUUGGAAGGGAAAAAGGUCAAUGGUUUCUCAAUAUUGAUUUUGAAAUAUUAAGACAGAAAAUUGAUUAUCUAUCUGAUUGUGGAAAUCAGUAGUUGGCAAAACAAAGAUUACAUUUUCGAUGGUUGAAUUGUUUAAUACUUGUGGUUCUACCGUUAUCUAGGAAGACAUCAAAGGAUCAGGUCUAUUGAUGAGAAGACUUCUAUACCAGACACUUGUUCGUAUUCAGUAAAGCAAUCGGUGUCUUCUCCGAAGAAUGAGUAAUCUGAAUAUAUGUCACAUCUACAAGGAAUAGAACAGACUAGCGGAUGCUUUAGUAUCUAAUAUUACUGUUGCUGCUUUUACGCAUAACUCCCCGGCUACAGUUAUGCUUUUUUGGAAAUGUCCACCAUCCGUCAUGGAUAUUUUGAGUGCUGACCAACAUGGUGAUUUGACACUUCGCAGUGAAAUACUCACCCCUAGAUCAGGAUGUAUAUAGUACAACUAUUGCUGGUGUUGUACAUAAUCUUACUAGCCUAGUUAGAACUACUUCUGCUAGCUCUUCUGUAGUGGCUAUGCCACAAUUACUUUCCCUGUAGAACUUCUGUUAUAUAAAUAAAAUCUUGUUUGAUCAAAAAAAGAAA